GUCUUGUUCCGAUCCUUCCCGUGCCUCUCAUGCACAGGCAGGCACAGCCGCGCGCACAGGCAUAUGGUAUCGUGUUGAUAGAUGAAUCUUGCGAAAUUAGAGCAUCUUCAAUAGAUUUCAUUAAACUGGACUUUUAGGGAUUUUGGAAAAAAAUAUGUCCUCAACAAGCAAAUUUCUAAAAAAUCGGUUCUCCAUAUUUCUUUCUACUGUACGUCACACAAACAUAGAGAGGUCCCAUGGGAUUCUGCCAAUGACUCAGAGGAUUUUUUUUUUUUCCCCUGUGCAGCCACGCUUGUCUCCAGCGUGCCUCCACCAUGUCCACACGCACGCCACCUGCUAAUCCCGCCACUCCAAAUACAUCAAGCGGGAGAGCUCCUCGAAAUACCGAACUUCCUCAAUCCCUUCCCAGCUCGUAUGUUAGCUCAGAUAACUGGGUUCCUUCUACUCCUUAAGUCGUUGGCCGAGCUCUUCUGGCGGCGUCACGAUCGAUAACCCAGGCGACAAUGGGCCGACAAAACCAGGGCGACAAUGGGUGCGGGAUCCAUGAGAGGCAGCCAGGGAGGUCAGAGACCAGGCAAGAGGCAACCACGGGAGUGGCAGGCAUCGGCAUUCCACUGGUUGCGGCCAGUCGGCUGAAACAAGAUUGAGAUGAGAAGUAGUAAGAGACGAAACAAGAAAUUUCUAAAAAAAAAAAGAUUGAGAACCACAUAGAAAAUCUGCUGGAGAGAUUUUUGUUUUACAACUUCUAGAGAAUGCUGAGAGUUUUAACGAGAACCAAUUUAGACAAUCUGCUGAAUAAUUCCUAAAAAAAAACUGUUGAACAUGCUCUAAACCCGCCACGCCUUAACUUUGCAUGCAAGUGUGGUAUCCAGCCAGC
rnacentral:lncRNA from 1 species